rnacentral:rRNA from 1 species
UAGGGGGCCAGCGUUGCUCGGAAUUACUGGGCGUAAAGGGUCCGUAGGCGGUGUGGCAAGUCGGGAGUGAAAUCUCUGGGCUUAACCCAGAGGCUGCUUCCGAAACUGCCAUGCUAGAGUGUGAGAGAGGCGAGUGGAAUUMCGGGUGUAGCGGUGAAAUGCGUAGAUAUCCGUAGGAACAUCCGAGGCGAAGGCGGCUCGCUGGAUCACAACUGACGCUGAGGGACGAAAGCUAGGGGAGCAAACAGGAUUAGAUACCCUGGUAGUCCUAGCCCUAAACCAUCAGGACUUGGGGUGUGCCCUGUACGGGGCACGUCCCGUAGCUAACGCGUUAAGUCCUGCGCCUGGGAGUACGGUCGCAAGCUG